rnacentral:rRNA from 1 species
AUGCUGCCGGCUCGUCCCCCUCCUCGUUCCCCACCGUCUCAAGCUUCAAUUUUUGCCACAUCGCCGGUGGUUGAUCUGCCGGCAGAAUUGCGGGCGGCGGCCUGGAGCGGCAGUACGCAAGCUCUGACUCCAUACCGAGCCAGCCGGCACACCCGCCAAGGAGCUUCGCCAGCCGCUGCCCUAGCGCCCGCGGCCGUCAAUGCGUGGUCGGGCGCCGCGUCGAUGUUGCCGCUGCUCGGCGCCGCCGUCGCCGACUCGUGGCUCGGCCGGUACCGCACCAUCGUCGCCUCCUUCGUUAUCUACAUCACGUGGCACAAAGGCGAGCUACCUUGGCGUGCAGAAGAGGCCCCCCUCCCUUGCCUUGUGCCCGGCGACCAACAACUGCGUGUCGACGUCCGAGAGGAUAAGCAAUUCCAAUCACUACGCUCCCCCAUGAAGAAGAAAGGUAAAUUUCAGCAUUCUAGCUUUCUUGCUGGGGGAGCUACAUCUGCUGCUAGGAAACUGGUUGCUCAAAAUGGGACUCUGAAGGCUAUUUGGCCUCACAGUGGCCACUAUCGCCCCACAGAGGAGAACUUCCAGGAGUUUAAAAGCUUCCUCAAUGACAACUUGGUUGAUCUCACUGAUGCACCUGAAGAAACUGGCUCUCUUCAGACAACUCAAGUCAUUCAAACAACAUCUACAGAGACAGAAAAACGUGAGGAACCAGUGGUGGCGCGCGAGAAGAUCCUUCAGAGGAGAUGGUGGUAG